UACGUAGGGGGCAAGCGUUAUCCGGAUUUACUGGGUGUAAAGGGAGCGUAGACGGCGGCGCAAGUCUGGAGUGAAAUCCCGGGGCUCAACCCCGGAACUGCUUUGGAAACUGCGCGGCUCGAGUGCAGGAGGGGCAGGCGGAAUUCCUAGUGUAGCGGUGAAAUGCGUAGAUAUUAGGAGGAACACCAGUGGCGAAGGCGGCCUGCUGGACUGUAACUGACGUUGAGGCUCGAAAGCGUGGGGAGCAAACAGG
rnacentral:rRNA from 1 species